UCAGGCUCCAGGCUCUGAGCUGUCAGCACAGAACCCCAUGUGGGAUUUGAACUCACAAUCCACGAGAUCAUGACCUGAGACAAAGUCGGACGCUUAACUGACUGAGCACCCAGGGGCCCCAGUGGAUUUAACUAUUCAAUAAUGUGAAACUGUUAUCAAUGAAAAAUUAGACUAAACAAAAUUAAAAGGUGUGGCUACAGAAAAAUGCAUAUCAAAAGAGUUAGCAUCUUUCAUAUAUAACUUCUUACAAGUCAAUAUGAAGAAAUGAACACAUUUAGAAAACUCUGGCAAACAAUAUGAAUUGACACUUUACAAAAUGACAAUCAGUGAACAUUUUUAAAAAUGUUAAUGCUUUCAGUCAGAAAUACAACGUAAAAUAAUGAGGUACAGUUAUUUGCCUAUACAGAAAAUGUCUGAAAAGCUCCCAUUCUAGCAGGACUUGAGGGGCGGUGGGCAUAUUGCUGGUGGAAAUCCAGACUGGAUUCCAGACGCACCUUCUGAGAGCUAAUAGGAUUCAAAACUACAAAAACGUUGGUAGGGCUUUAAGAGGGGAUUUGGGGACGGGCGGUGGAUACAAGGCAUCCAGGCUUCUAAAAUUGUCCCUUCCCCUCUUCCCUCCAGCUAAGUCAGGUUCCCAUCAGCUCUCACCUGGGCUCCUUAAACAACCUCCUAACUAAUCCGGUGUCCUCAUUUUCCUCUUGAAAUUUCACCUUCCACUUUGCAGUAUCACUGAUCCCCACUAUAAAUAUGUCCAUGCCCUUCCCCUUGCAAGGACCUCUUCGGUCACCAUCACCAGCAGGAUUAAGGUCAGUCUUCUCAGUAUGGCCUGCAAAGUUCUCCAACCUUCUGAUCCUCAUCCAGUUCUCUAGGCCCCCCAUUUUCCACCCGCCCCCAUUUUCCACCCGCCCCCAUUUUGCCAUCCAUUCAUAAUACCCAGCUGCUUAUAAUUUUUACAGUAUGUUACUUCCGUUCCCAUUAAUCCUUCAAUAGAAAAAUCAGUCCUGCCCUCCCUUCGCUCAUCAUUCGCUCUAAUUCUUUGCAGUAAAAGUUGUACCUUCCCCAGAAAGCUUUCUGUGACUUUCUAGGCUGGGUUCGUUUCCCCCCAACUUGGUCCUGUAAAACACUGGCCUCAUGACUCUGCAUUGUGUGCGUGAGGUUCAUUUGUAAGUAAGUAGCUGUGGUCUGUUCAUUCUCGUUUCUGUAUACAAUUAUAAAAAUAUACCAUUAUUGUUGUUAAAUACUUUCUCCAGCUUUUGGCUACUGAGUCGUGUUUCUAUUAGGAUUCGAUGCAUGUAUUUUGGAAAACGUUAUGCAUGCGUUUCUGUUGGGUAUACAUCGAGGACUGGAGUGGAGUCAAAGGAGGCGGCAGGCAAAAUACAAAAUGCAAAAAGAGCUUCCAUGCCCUGAUGGCAGAGAUGUUUUCCAGGUGGGCUUUAUGAGAGGGAGCUAUCCAGGUGGGCCUAAUCUAAUCACACCAGCCACUUUAAAAAGCAGAGUUCCUCUCCAGCCAGGAGCAGAAGAGGAAGUCAGAGAAGUUUGAAGCGUCAGGGGUUCUAGCCAUAUCAUUGGUGGCUUGAUCAUCCUGGGGUCCACAUGCAAGGACUGGGGGGUGGCUUCCAGGAGCUAAGGGUGGCUCUCAGCUGGCAGCCAGCAAGGAAACAGGAUUUGCCAACACCCUGACGGAACUAGAACGUGGAUUUCUCCCCAAGGGCUCCAGAUGAGGAUUCAGUCCUCCUACCAACCUGAUUUCAGCCCUGUGCCUGAGCAGACACCCCAGCCAUCCCGUGUCAGACUGCAGCUCUACAGAACUAUCAGGGAGAAGAUACCCAACCAAGAUGGACAUCAAAAGAUGCCUGUGUUCUAGAUUUGGAGCUGUUUGUCUUUGGAAUGUUUUUUUUUUCUUUGCCUCUGGGUACAUAAUUUCAUUUUAAAUUAGGAGAGAAGGACUUAAAAUAACUGCUUUCAA